rnacentral:rRNA from 1 species
GAUGAACGCUGGCGGCGUGCUUAACACAUGCAAGUCGAACGGUGAACACGGAGCUUGCUCUGUGGGAUCAGUGGCGAACGGGUGAGUAACACGUGAGCAACCUGCCCCUGACUCUGGGAUAAGCGCUGGAAACGGCGUCUAAUACUGGAUAUGUGACGUGACCGCAUGGUCUGCGUUUGGAAAGAUUUUUCGGUUGGGGAUGGGCUCGCGGCCUAUCAGCUUGUUGGUGAGGUAAUGGCUCACCAAGGCGUCGACGGGUAGCCGGCCUGAGAGGGUGACCGGCCACACUGGGACUGAGACACGGCCCAGACUCCUACGGGAGGCUGCAGUGGGGAAUAUUGCACAAUGGGCGCAAGCCUGAUGCAGCAACGCCGCGUGAGGGAUGACGGCCUUCGGGUUGUAAACCUCUUUUAGCAGGGAAGAAGCGAAAGUGACGGUACCUGCAGAAAAAGCGCCGGCUAACUACGUG